rnacentral:rRNA from 1 species
AACGAACGCUGACGGCGUGCCUAAUACAUGCAAGUCGAACGAGAAAGCCCUUCGGGGUGAGUAGAGUGGCGCACGGGUGAGUAACACGUAGGUGACCUACCAUUUGGCGGGGGAUAACUCGAAGAAAUUCGGGCUAAUACCGCAUAAGUAAAACGAAUUUGAAAAUAGUUUUAGAAAGGAUGCCUCUGCAUAUGCAUUCACCGAAUGAUGGGCCUGCGAGACAUUAGCUUGAUGGUGGGGUAACGGCCUACCAUGGCGACGAUGUCUAGCGGAUUUGAGAGAAUGAUCCGCCACACUGGAACUGAGACACGGUCCAG